UCGGACGUGGUGCACGGUGCACGCCUGCUCAUAGUUAUCGGUCUUACUUUUCAGAAAUUACCUACGGCGGGACAUCUGAGUUCGACUCUCAGCGUCCGAG